rnacentral:snoRNA from 1 species
CAGCCAGUGAGUUGGCUUACCUAAAUGUGUAUAUCCAGAGAUUUAGGAAAAGCUGGCAAUGUCGAGAUACUCAAGUCUUAAGGACAAUUAAAGUUGUUAAGAUCCCUGAAAAUGGUUUUAACA